rnacentral:rRNA from 1 species
GUCGAGAAUUUUUCUCAAUGGGGGAAACCCUGAAGGAGCGACGCCGCGUGGGGGAUGAAGGGCUUCGGCUCGUAAACCCCUGUCAUUUGUGAGCAAGUGUUAUUGUUUAAGAGAUGAUGACAUUGAUAGUAGCAAAAGUGGAAGGGACGGCUAACUCUGUGCCAGCAGCCGCGGUAAUACAGAGGUCCCAAGCGUCGUUCGGAAUCACUGGGCGUAAAGGGUGCGUAGGCGGUAUAGUAAGACUUGGGGGAAAUCUCCAUGCUUAACGUGGAGGGAGCCUGGGAGACUGCUGUGCUAGAGGAUUGGAAGGGAGACUGGAAUUCUUGGAGUAGCAGUGAAAUGCGUAGAUAUCAAGAGGAACACCAGUGGCGAAGGCGAGUCUCUGGACAAGACCUGACGCUGAGGCACGAAGGCCAGGGGAUCAAACGGGAUUAGAAACCCCAGUAGUCC